rnacentral:lncRNA from 1 species
GAUGAAAUCCAUAAAUUAAAAACUGUUUGUUGAUUUCUCUUCUAAAAAUCUUAGAAUUGUUGUUCUAUCAGUGACCAAACGCCCAAAUGUAGCAUCAUUUGCAGAAAUCCUUCCAACAUUAUCAUCAAAUUUCCCUUCAACGCUUUGAUAAAUGCUUGUUUUUGUCUUUUUUGUUGUUUCAAAGGUGGCGAGCUGGAGGGGAAUCCUCCAUCUGGAUUCCUGAGCUCAGGUGAAGCAGGGAGCCGCUCUGACAGUCAGCAUAGCUCCAAAUGGAUUCAUCCAUCCAGAUGAAGUGGUUCCUCUGGAAACCAACAAAACAUUGAAAGAAGGAUCAGCUUCAACACCUCACGGUGGACGGACGGGCUUGUGAUGGAAGCCAGGUGACCUCCAGAGAAACCGAGACCUCCUGACAAAAACACUAAACAGAAAUAAAA